UUCCAGAGGAAGGCUCGUCCGCUCUGGGUUAGUCGGGUCCUAAGCUGAGGCCGACAGGCGUAGGCGAUGGAUAACAGGUUGAUAUUCCUGUACCACCUAUAAUCGUUUUAAUCGAUGGGGGGACGCAGUAGGAUAGGCGAAGCGUGCGAUUGGAUUGCACGUCUAAGCAGUAAGGCUGAGUAUUAGGCAAAUCCGGUACUCGUUAAGGCUGAGC
rnacentral:rRNA from 1 species